rnacentral:rRNA from 1 species
CGAAAGCCUGACGGAGCAAGACCGCGUGGAGGUAGAAGGCCCACGGGUCAUGAACUUCUUUUCUCGGAGAAGAAGCAAUGACGGUAUCUGAGGAAUAAGCCUCGGCUAACUCCGUGCCAGCAGCCGCGGUAAUACGGAGGAGGCAAGCGUUAUCCGGAUUUAUUGGGCGUAAAGCGUCCGCAGGUGGCAAUUCAAGUCUGCUGUCAAAGCACGGGGCUUAACUCCGUAAAGGCAGUGGAAACUGAAUAGCUAGAGUGCCGUAGGGGUAGAGGGAAUUCCCGGUGUAGCGGUGAAAUGCGUAGAGAUCGGGAAGAACAUCGGUGGCGAAAGCGCUCUACUGGACGGCAACUGACACUCAGGGACGAAAGCUAGGGGAGCG